UACGUAGGGGGCAAGCGUUGUCCGGAAUCAUUGGGCGUAAAGCGCGUGUAGGCGGCCCGGUAAGUCCGCUGUGAAAGUCGGGGGCUCAACCCUCGAAUGCCGGUGGAUACUGUCGGGCUAGAGUGCGGAAGAGGCGAGUGGAAUUCCUGGUGUAGCGGUGAAAUGCGCAGAUAUCGGGAGGAACACCAAUUGCGAAGGCAGCUCGCUGGGACGUGACUGACGCUGAGACGCGAAAGCGUGGGGAGCAAACAGG
rnacentral:rRNA from 1 species